AGACAGCAGCUUAUUCAUCUGAAGACAGAAAACUUGCCUUGGCAGCCUGAGGCCUGGGAGUUAUGUCAGAACUUUCAGAAUGGUUGGCGGUGCCUUUGCCUGUGCUGGUCCAGGUUCUACGUCGACUUGGAGAAGCUUUUUACUGCGUCCACUGAGGGACGCCCAGAUUCCUCAGAGGGAAGUCGGGUGUGCCGGCUGGAGCACAGCAGGGGUCAGAAGGGGCCUGCCUGGCUUCCACCACAGCAACUUGCUUCUGCUUCAAGGCUUCAGGAAUCAAGUCUGUUUGGCUCAUCCUGCACCUAGCACCACGGCUGGCAAACAGUAACAGUUUAAUAAAUACACAUGGAAUGUUGAAAUGAAUGAAUGAGCACAUAAU
rnacentral:lncRNA from 10 species